rnacentral:tRNA from 1 species
GGGCCUCUAGCUCAAUGGCAGAGCAGCUGACUCUUAAUCAGCCGGUUCGGGGUUCGAGUCCCCGGGGGCUCACCA